GCCAAACAGCUAGCUUAGUAAUUAAAAUAAUUUUAUACCAUAAAUAAUAUAUCAUCAACUAAAAUGAUAAACUAAAUCAUUCUACCACCCUAGUACGGGAGACGGAAAAGGUAAACCCAAGCGAUAGAGAAAGUACCGCAAGGGAAAGCUGAAAGAGUAAUGAAAUAAUUCACACAAGCCCUGAAAAGCAGAGCCUAACCCUCGUACCUUUUGCAUCAUGAUUUAGCCAGUACCUUAUAAGCAAAGUGCCCUUUAGUUUAUAGCCCCGAAACCAAGUGAGCUACCCCGGGACAGCCAAACGGGCGAACCCGUCUCUGUGGCAAAAGAGUGGGAAGAGCCCCGGGUAGAGGUGACAAAUCUACCGAACUUGGUGAUAGCUGGUUGCCUAAGAAAUGAAUAGAAGUUCAGCUUCAUACCCCUUAUAACAGCUAGGAAGCAUCCAAACAAGUACUAAGAGAGAAGUAUGAAAGUUAGUCAAAGGGGGUACAGCCCAUUUGACCAAGGACACAACCUUUUCAGGAGGAUAAAAAUCAAAUUUUACAAAAUAAGUCGCCUCAGUGGGCUUAAAAGCAGCCACCUGUACAAAAAGCGUUAAAGCUUAGAUGACACAAAAUUUAUUAUAUCGAUAAAAAACUUUAAUCCCCUACAAAUAUUAGGCCAUUCCAUGCUAACAUGGAAGAGAUAAUGCUAAAAUGAGUAACAAGAGGGUAAACCCUCUCCCAGCACAAGUGUAAUCCAGAUCGGACAACCCACUGGAAAUUAACGAACCCAAAAAAAGAGGGCAAAGUAAACAACAUAAAAAUCAAGAAACCCUUACUCUAAAACAAUCGUUUACCCUACACCGGUGUGCCACAAGGAAAGACUAAAAGAAAAGGAAGGAACUCGGCAAACACAAGCCUCGCCUGUUUACCAAAAACAUCGCCUCCUGCUAAUUACUAAAUAUAGGAGGUCCAGCCUGCCCGGUGACCACAAGUUUAACGGCCGCGGUAUUUUGACCGUGCAAAGGUAGCGCAAUCACUUGUCUUUUAAAUGAAGACCUGUAUGAAUGGCCAAACGAGGGCUUAACUGUCUCCCUUUUCAAGUCAGUGAAAUUGAUCUGCCCGUGAAGAAGCGGACAUAUGUAUACAAGACGAGAAGACCCUUUGGAGCUUAAGGUACAAGCCCACCUACGUCAAAUAACUUACUAAACAAGCACGAACAUAAUAGGAUAUGGAACUUUACCUUCGGUUGGGGCGACCAUGGAGAACAGAUAAUCCUCCAAGCGGAUAGGGACACACCCUAAAACCAAGAACCACAAUUCCAAGUCACAGAAAUUCUGACCGACUAUGAUCCGGCCCCAAGGCCGAUCAACGAACCAAGUUACCCUAGGGAUAACAGCGCAAUCCCCUCCAAGAGGCCAUAUCGACGAGAGGGUUUACGACCUCGAUGUUGGAUCAGGACAUCCUAAUGGUGCAGCCGCUAUUAAGGGUUCGUUUGUUCAACGAUUAAAGUCCUACGUGAUCUGAGUUCAGACCGGAGCAAUCCAGGUCAGUUUCUAUCUGUAUUGUCAUUUUUCCUAGUACGAAAGGACCGGAAAAAAGAGGCCCAUACUAAAAGCACGCCUCACCCCUAAUUAAUGAAAACAACUAAAUUAAAUAAAGGGCGGACUCAAAAUUAGACCAAAAUAAGGUCAC
rnacentral:rRNA from 1 species